GUCAACGGCCAUACCACGUUGAAAGCACCGGUUCUCGUCCGAUCACCGAAGUUAACCAACGUCGGGCGGAGUUAGUACAUAGAUGGGCGACCGCUUGGGAACACUACGUGCUGUUGACU
rnacentral:rRNA from 1 species